UAGUGUAACAAUGCUAAGGAGUCUUCCUUGCAAGCAGUUUCAGUUUCAGAGGCUACCAGGAGAUCAUCUACAUAAACUAGAAGUUGGCUUUUGUUUGACAUCUGAAAAUCAGCCAAACAGGCCAUGAUAGCUUGAAUGAAAAUAGUUGGACUAUCAGCAAAUCCCUGUGGCAAUCUGGUGUACGUAUAACUUUGCCCUUUAAAGGUAAACGCGAACCAAAACUGUGAGUCUGGGUGAAUUGGCACUGAGAAAAAUGCAUUGCUAAGAUCAAUUACUGUGAAAAACUUCUGGUUAGGCUUCAAAGUGUUUAGAAGUGUGUGUGGGUCAGGCACAUUAGGUGCUCUUGUCUGCACUGCAUCAUUCACUGCUCGUAAAUCUUGUAUCAUUCGCCAAUCAAUUUUAUUGGCCUUUCGAACUGGAAAAAUAGGAGUGUUGCAAGGAGAAUCCGAGCACUUCCUAAUGACUCCUCCUGACAAAAGAUCAUUUAUAACAGGGGCAAUCCCAUUUAUUGCCUCCUGUUUUAAAGGAUAUUGCUUAACUCUUGGACGCCACUCUGAUCUUGGUUUGAUCUGCACUGGGGGAAUGGAUGUUAAAAGUCCUACAUCAGAUGGGCCCUUUGUCCACAGUUUUUCAGGAAGCCCAGCCAAUUCCCCCUCCUCCUUUUCAUUCAAACAAAUGUUAACUAGUCAGGGAAGCGCACAAGCGCAUGCCCUACCAACAGCUACUUCACACACAGUUUGCUUCCACAUGUCACAACUAGUACUGUAGCUCCACCCAUCACCUUUGUCCUCAUAAUCAAUGAGGGAAUCUAGUCAUGCUGAAAAUUUGGCUUUUCCUC